CAUUGAUAUAUACACUCUAUUUCGAGAUUAUGAUAUUUUACCAAAUGGACUUGGUGACGAGCUACCCGCAGUUACCGUUGAUCACACUUCUAAUCAACUUCAAAAUCCAAAUGCAACUGCAGCAACAGGUUCCAAUACAAUUAAAAGAAAAACUAGAGGACCAACACGAUGCUUGAAAAUCACACAAUUGGAGAAUGGGCAAAAAUUGCCAGUAGAAUUUGAUGAAGAUGAUCAAGCUAUUGGUGAUAAUGCUACUGCAUUUGUUUGGUUUUUAGGACAAACUAUUAGCAGUGUGUCGUGUUGUCCAUUGCAAGUGAAACAAUGGAAUAAGAUUACCGAUGAUAAGCUCGACCACAUGUGGUCUACCAUAUUGGUACGAAAAUUUAUAUUAAAUUACAUCUAUUAUAAAAUGAUUAUAAUUUUUUUAAUUCUAUUAAGUAUCAUAAUUUUUGUUUCUUACUUCUUUGCUAAAAGGAAAAGUUCACUUUUGAGUAUUCUGAUGCAAGAAAUGGAGCAAUUUUCGGUCAUAUGAAUGCAUUAUAUAGGUAUUAUAGGCAUAAGUUGAAGAAGAAGUACUUUGAUUCAAAGGCAACUUAUUCACUUCGUCUCCGAAACAAGCCUAAGGAUAUGGAUGUAAAAGAUUGGAAGUAUUUGGUUAAUCUUUGGACAGAAAAUGCAUUUCAGGAGAGAAGCAACAAAAAUAAGACAAAUAGAUGCAAGCGUUCUAUGCCGCCAUACACGGGGAUAAAA